rnacentral:rRNA from 1 species
AGAGAUGUGUGAUGACGCAUAUCAAUAAGCGGAGGAAAAGAAACUAACAAGGAUUCCCUUAGUAACGGCGAGUGGAGCGGGAAGAGCUCAAAUUUGAAAUCUUCAAGGUUCUACCUUGACGAAUUGUAGUUUAUAGAAGUGUUUUCUGUUAGUAGGAGUGGCAAAAGUUCUUUGGAAUAGGACAUCAUAGAGGGUGAGAAUCCCGUAUUUGGUCAUUCCUUCCUAGCGUUGUGAUACACUUUCAACGAGUCGGAUUGUAUUGGGAAUGCAGUCCAAAAUGGGUGGUAAACUUCAUCUAAAGCUAAAUAUUGGCGAGAGACCGAUAGCGAACAAGUACCGUGAGGGAAAGAUGAAAAGAACUUUGAAAAGAGAGUUAAACAGUACGUGAAAUUGUCAAAAGGGAAGCGUUUGACACCAGUGUUGUUUUUCCGAAAAGUCAAUUACGAAUGUUUUGUUUUUGAGGAGUUAUGACUCCAUCGGCUUGCUUCUCUCUUUACGAAACUUUCUUAAUGCACUUUUCGGUUAACAAGUCAACAUCAAUUUCUUUUGUUGUAAAAGGGUAUGAGGAAGGUGGCUUUCUUUUCGGAGAAAGUGUUUAUAGCCUUGUAGCCUCUGCAAUCGGAUGAGAUUGAGGUCUGCAGCGUAGAUCCUUCGGGGUUAGAUACAUUUGUGCUAAGUUAUAGCUUUUCAUAGACAACUUGUUGACUAUGUUAAGUCUUGUAGCUUACUCGCUUAUGCUAUUUUACCUACGCUUAGGAUGUUGAUCUGUAGUGCGUGCGC